rnacentral:tRNA from 1 species
GUGAGCGAUGCCGAAGCGGUCGAGGCAUCAGUGUGUGGAACUGAAGAAAGCGGGUUCGAGUCCCGUCGCCCACCCCA